rnacentral:tRNA from 1 species
AAGAAGUUGGCAGAUUAUGAAAUGUUUUUAGCUUGAAACUAAAGUUAUGCAGGUUUAAAUCCUGUACUUCUUU